rnacentral:rRNA from 1 species
UGAUCGGCCACAUUGGGACUGAGAUACGGCCCAGACUCCUACGGGAGGCAGCAGUAGGGAAUUUUGCGCAAUGGACGAAAGUCUGACGCAGCAACUCCGCGUGAGGGAUGAAUGCCUUCGGGUUGUAAACCUCUGUUGAGUGGGAAGAGAAAUUUUUGUGCUAAUACCACAAAGACUUGACGGUACCAUUCGAGGAAGCUCCGGCUAACUACGUGCCAGCAGCCGCGGUAAUACGUAGGGAGCUAGCGUUGUUCGGAAUUACUGGGCGUAAAGGGAGCGCAGGCGGGAAAGUAAGUUAGAAGUGAAAUGUACCGGCUCAACCGGUGAUCUGCUUUUAAUACUGCUUUUCUUGAGUAUGGGAGAGGAAGAUGGAAUUCCAGGUGUAGCGGUGGAAUGCGUAGAUAUCUGGAAGAACACCAGUUGCGAAGGCGGUCUUCUGGCCCAAUACUGACGCUGAGGCUCGAAAGCUAGGGGAGCGAACAGGAUUAGAUACCCUGGUAGUCCUAGCCGUAAACGAUGGACACUAGAUGCUGGAGGCAUUAAGCUUUCGGUGUCGAAGCUAACGCAUUAAGUGUCCCGCCUGGGGAGUACGCUCGCAAGGGUGAAACUCAAAGGAAUUGACGGGGGCCCGCACAAGCGGUGGAGCAUGUGCUUUAAUUCGAUGCAACGCGAAGAACCUUACCUGGUCUUGACAUGGGAGUGAAAGCUUUUAGAGAUAAUUGCCCUUCCUUCGGGAACUCUCCACACAGGUGCUGCAUGGUUGUCGUCAGCUCGUGUCGUGAGAUGUUGGGUUAAGUCCCGCAACGAGCGCAACCCCUGUCCUUAGUUGCCAUCAGGUCAAGCUGGGAACUCUAAGGAGACUGCCUGGGUUAACCAGGAGGAAGGUGGGGAUGACGUCAAAUCCUCAUGGCCCUUACGACCAGGGCUAGACACGUGCUACAAUGGGCGGUACAACGGGAUGCUAAGUCGCGAGGCCACGCUAAUCCCUUAAAACCGUUCUCAGUUCGGAUUGGAGUCUGCAAUUCGACUCCAUGAAGUUGGAAUCGCUAGUAAUCGCGGAUCAGCAUGCCGCGGUGAAUACGUUCCCGGGCCUUGUACACACCGCCCGUCAAGCCAUGAAAGAUGGUAGUACCCGAAGUCGUUAUCCUAACCUUUUGGAGGGAGGCGCCGAAGGUUAGAUCAUUGAUUGGGGCUAAGUCGAAACAAGGUA